rnacentral:rRNA from 1 species
ACUCAAAGGAAUAGACGGGGACCCGCACAAGCGGUGGAUGAUGUGGAUUAAUUCGAUGCAACGCGAAAAACCUUACCUACCCUUGACAUGUCAGGAAGUCCCGAGAGAUUGGGAUGUGCCCGAAAGGGAACCUGAACACAGGUGCUGCAUGGCUGUCGUCAGCUCGUGUCGUGAGAUGUUGGGUUAAGUCCCGCAACGAGCGCAACCCUUGUCGUUAAUUGCCAUCAUUUGGUUGGGCACUUUAGCGAGACUGCCGGUGACAAACCGGAGGAAGGUGGGGAUGACGUCAAGUCCUCAUGGCCCUUAUGGGUAGGGCUUCACACGUCAUACAAUGGUCGGUACAAAGGGUCGCCAACCCGCGAGGGGGAGCCAAUCCCAGAAAGCCGAUCGUAGUCCGGAUUGCAGGCUGCAACUCGCCUGCAUGAAGUCGGAAUCGCUAGUAAUCGUGGAUCAGCAUGUCACGGUGAAUACGUUCCCGGGUCUUGCACACACCGCCCGU